rnacentral:rRNA from 1 species
UGGGGAAUAUUGCACAAUGGGCGCAAGCCUGAUGCAGCAACGCCGCGUGAACGAUGAAGGUUCUAUGAAUCGUAAAGUUCUGUUCUGAGGGAAGAAAAAAAUGACGGUACCUCAGGAGCAAGCCCCGGCUAACUACGUGCCAGCAGCCGCGGUAAUACGUAGGGGGCAAGCGUUAUCCGGAAUUAUUGGGCGUAAAGGGUGCGUAGGUGGUUUUGUAAGCGUGGGGUCAAAAGCAAUGGCUUAACCAUUGUCCGCCCUGCGAACUGCAGAACUUGAGUGCAGGAGAGGAAAGCGGAAUUCCUAGUGUAGCGGUGAAAUGCGUAGAUAUUAGGAGGAACACCAGUGGCGAAGGCGGCUUUCUGGACUGUAACUGACACUGAGGCACGAAAGCGUGGGGAGCAAACAGG